AUGGCCCCAGAAACAGCCAGCCGGAUACAGCAACUAACUCAGAUUCGUUUGUUUGUUUCUUGGUUGGUUUUUUGGGGGGUUUUUUUUGGCAGCAUGUGGGAGUUCCUGGGCCAGGGACCGACCCCGCGCCACCGUAGCAACCCAAGCCGCUGUAGUGACCGUGCCAGAUCUUUAACCCACUGCACCACAGGAGAGCUCCCUAACUCGGAUAGUUCUAAUGCUUUCCGGUUGGAUCUCUUGAGGCCCAGCCGCCCUUUGGUAAGACAUGCACUUUUAAGAGGUAGCCCUGCCUCCUUCCCACACACGUGCCUCUUUUUCCCCCCCUUUCUUUUCAGGGCCGCACCCACAGCCUAUGAAACUUCCUGGGCUAGGGGUCUAAUCAGAGCUACAGGUGCCAGCCUACACCACAGCCACAGCCGCAGCAACGCCGGAUCCAAGCCACAUCUGCCCCCACAGCACAGCUUGUGGCAACGCCGGGUCCUUAACCCACUGAGCGACGCUAGGGAUCAAACCUGCGUCCUCAUGGAUGAUAGCUGGGUUCUUAACCCACUGGGCCACAGCAGGAACUCCCACAUUUGGCUCUUAAAGUACCCCUGGGUGGGUUGCUCUUUCUUCCAAGCCAAGGAGCCUUGACUGAACAGGGUCGCAAAGGUUCAUCCCUGGGAAGCUGCGUGAAUAACGUGCAGAGAAGGAGGUAGGAGUCCUUCUCUGACAAAGUCCGCCGGACACUGCGUGUCGGCUGUUGGUGUGGAACCCGCUGGGCAGCUCCAGCCUGGCCGAGAUAACCCGCGCGACAGAAAGAGCGAGAGGCAGAGGGGCUGGAGCCCGGCUGUGAAUGUGCCCCCCUGCAGAUGUGUUUGAUCUCUCAGGGUUUACGGAAGGCCCACCACGCACCAGGCUGCAAACAGACAGAUGAGGCCCCUGCUCUCGGGGAACUCGUGUUCGGGUGGGGUAAGAUCGAGGUGAGGUUUUCAGAGAGAGGCAGUUCCUGGUGGCUCGGGAGGUUACUGCACUGUCACUGCAGCAGCCAGGUCACUGCUGUGGCGCAGCUUUGAUCCCUGACCUGGGAGCUUCUGCAUGCCUUGGGCGUGGCCAAAAAAGAAAAAAAAGAGGGAGAGGGCUAGAAUUUCAGAUAAAGAAUAGAAACCUGGGGAGUUCCUGGUGGUGCAGUGGGUUAAUGAUCCAGCUUUGUCUCUGUAGAGGCACCAGUUCGAUCCCCGGCCCACCACAGUGGGUUAAGGAUCCAGUGUUUUUGCUACGGCUGUUGCAGCAGCUGUGGCACAGGUCACUGUUCCAGCUCAGAUUUUCUUUUCUUUUUUUGCCUUUUCUAGGGCCGCUCCCGUGGCAUCUGGAGGUUCCCAGGCUAGGGGUCGAAUCGGAGCUGUAGCCACUGGCCUACGCCAGAGCCAUAGCAACGCGGGAUCCAAGCCGCAUCUGAAACCUACACCACAGCUCACAGCAACUCCAGAUCCUUAACCCACGGAGCCAGGCCAGAUGGAACCCUCAUCCUUGUGGACACGAGUCGGAUUCAUUUCGCUGCGCCACAACAGGAACUCCCAGACCCACGUCUUGCUGGAACACGGUCACGGUCACAUUGUAGGAUGAGCUGUCCAAAGGCGGAUCCAUCCCACCCAGAGAAGGAUUCAAGCGUCGAGUAUUAGCGGCCAUGGUGUGUGUGCUCCCCACGUGCCAGGCACAGUCCUGGGAGCUUUACACGGUCUGAUGCGUCCGCACAGCCACCUUCAACAGACAUGCCCAUUUCAUCCGUGAGACAACAAGCCAAAGAGGCUGAGCCGCAUGCUUCAGGCCACACAGCCUGCACAUGCAUGAGCUGAAGUUCAGACCCGGCCCCUGCUGAGUCAGGGCCUGUCUGCCCACCCAGGUGGCCCCCACCCCCGACAGGAGCGACUUGGGUGGGUGCCUCACACCAGCUGCGUGAGAGGCCCGUGGGCUCCACCCCUGCCAGCAAGGCCUGCCCGGGUCUGCGUAAGUCAGCUCUCACUAGCUGUGGGCCGACCUAAACUUUGGACCCAGGGGUUGGCCGAGGGGACUGUCGCGGGCUCCACUUUGCUUUCCCGAGGAAUCCCCUGGCCCACGUUCAGUUUCUCAUCGGCCCACAACUGUAUCUUACAGACCUUGGGACUCUGGUGCUGUCACUGGGUCCUGGUCCCAGCCAGUGUCCUCGGCACCCCUCCCCUUUGCAGUUACAUCCCAACGUGAGGCUAGAGUUUCUUCAUAUGCUUUGGCCAAAGCAACACCCAAUCACCGCCGACUGUACGUGGAGCGCCUGUAACAACCCAGCUGCUUCCUGUUCAACCAGACACUAAAGAGAUUGCCAAAAAGCAAAGGAAGGCCACUCCUGACACUAAAAUAUUUUGUCUUGGAAAAUACAAUUAAUGUUCUUUCUUUUUUUCUUUUGGCCACACCUACAGCACACAAAGUUCCCAGGCCAGGGAUCGAACCCAUGCCACAGGAGUGACCCAGGCCACAGCAGCGAGGGUGCUAGAUCCUUAACCCACUGGGCCACUAGGGAACUCCAAUACCUAAAUUUUUUUAAAGCUUUAGUUUAAAUUUUUAAGAUGGCAACUAUUGAUAGAUAUAACUCACCUCAAUGAAAGCUUUAGGGGGACUUCCUAUUGUGGCUCAGUGGUAAUGAACCUGACUAGUAUCCUUGAGGGUGUGGGUUUGAUCCCUGGCCUCGCUCAGUGGGUUAAGGAUCCGGUGUUGCCAUGAGCCAUGGCAUGGCACAGACACUGCUUGGAAUCAGCAUUGCUGUGGCUGUGGUGUAGGCUGGCAGCUGCAGCUCUGAUUCGACCCCUAGCCCAGGAACUUCCAUACGCCACGGGUGUGGCCCUGAAAACACACACACACACACACACAGCCCUUAGUGGUCCUGCCCCUGCCUGCCUGCCUGCCACCUCAGUACAUUCCCGGCAUGAAGGGCUGGUCCCCAGCUGCUCCACCUUCGUGCCAUUUGCACAGAACGACCAGCACCCAGGGGUGUGUAGCUAGCACCUCACCGUUUUUAAAGCAAGUUCACAAGAUGAAAGUUCAUAGCCUCUGUGAGGUGUGCUGUGCAGGGGUGUGUAGCUAGCACCUCACCGUUUUUAAAGCAAGUUCACAAGACGAAAGUUCAUAGCCUCUGUGAGGUGUGCUGUGCAGGCUCUGUUCCCUGCGAUCGGGAGACCGCAUCUGCCUCAUCCUCAAAGCAGGCUUACAAGCGGUGCCCUGUUUUGGGGUGAAGACGCAGAGACGGGAGCGAGCUGUGUCUGCACCCCCACCUCUGCCCUCAAACUGCUGCUCCUGCCUCGAAGAGAGGAGUCAGAGACCUGCCGGAUUCGGGCCUCCGGGGACUCCCCUGGGCCCCACGGAGAGCCCCUCACCUGCAGCCACAAGGGAGCUUUCAAUGGGCUUGGCUUGGAAUUCCAGGCCCCCGGCCAAGCAUGGAGGCAGCUUUCACCUUCAGUGAAGGCGUUUGGGUCUCAGCCAGGAUCAAUGUCUACUUGGCUCACUGUCACCAGACAACCUUGGACUUCAUUACAGGAUGGGCCGAAAGGGGAAGCCACUGCCCCGGGGUUCGUGUCCCACUGAGCCUGGGUUUCCUCAUGCGUAUCGGGAACCUACUCCCAGCGGGCCUCUCGAGAGUCCCCGGAAGGGUGAGCUUCGUACUCCCACGUGCUAAGAACAAACCCCCUGAGCAGCGGUGUCUCAAAGGAGGUCAGGCCUGGGAGACGGUUCACUGGGUCCCGCCCCACUGUGAGUGUCCAGAGCAGGGCUGUCCAGGAAAAAUGCAGCAGGAGCUGCAAGCGCAAUUUAAAUUUUUCUUGUAGCUACAUUAAAAAAGUAAAAAGAAGCAGGUGACAGGAGUUCCCAACGUGGUGCAGUAGGUUAAGAAUCUACCUGCAGCGGCUCAGGUUACUGCGGACAGGCAGGUUCAAUCCCUGGCCUGGUGCAGCCAGUUAAAGAACCCGGUGUUGCUGCCGCUGCAGGGUAGGUCGCAGCUGUGGCUGAUUCAGUCCCUGGCUGGGGAACUUCCAUAUACCACGAGUGCAGGCAAAAUUUUUUUUAAAAAAGACAGUGGACAGUAAUUUCUCAAGUAUAUUUUAAUUUUACCCACUAUUUCCAAUAUGCCAUUAUAUCAUUAAUUAAUCAGUAUAAGUGAGAUACUUCAGUUAUCACCACCCUAAUCGUCACAAAGUGCGAGUCACUAGGACAACUCACGCCCCGUGUGAUGCGUAAUCGACACGGACAGCACGUCUCCAUUUGGAGCAUGCUCAAUUUUCAUGGGAAUACUGGAUCUUUAUUUUUGAUUUUAUUUUUUUCUUUUUAGGGCCACACCUGCCCCAUAUGGAGGUUCCCAGGCUAGGGGUCCAAUCGGAGCUGUAGCUGCCGGCCUACGCCAGAGCCACAGCAACGCCAGAUCCGAGCCGCGCCUGCGACCUACACCACAGCUCACGGCAAUGCCGGAUCUUAACCCAUUGAGGGAGGCCAGGGAUCCAACGCUUAACCUCACAGGUUCCUCAUGGGAUUCGUCUCCACUGUGCCACCACGGGAACUCCUCGAACCCUUAUUUAGAAGUGAUGAAAUUCCAGAGUUCCCGUGGUGGCUCAGUGGUUAACGAAUCCCACGAGGAACUAUGAGGUUGCGGGUUCGAUCCCUGGCCUCGCUCAGUCGGUUAAGGAUCCGGCGUUGCCGUGAGCUGGGGUGUAGGUCGCAGACCCGGCUCGGAUCCCGCGUUGCUCUGGCUGUGGUGCAGGCCGGCGGCUACAGCUCCGAUUCGACCCCCAGCCUGGGAACCUCCAUACGCCACGGGUGUGGCCCUAGAAAAGGCAAAAAAAAAACCCAACCCAACCUAGAAGUCAAGUUGGAAAAGUGAACUCACACGCCCAAGUUGUUCUAAGUAAACUUAAAAGUCUUCCAAUAACUGUGAAGAGUGCUCAGAUUAAUUAAAUCAGCCCACGCAAGUGCACCGCGGCUUCCAGAGGCACUUCCACUGCGCAGGACCAGGGCGGGUCUCCGGGUACCCGGGGGUGGAGCACGAGGCAGCGGAGCGAGGGUCCCGCCGCGCAGGAAGAAGCCCGCGGCCCCGCCCCAGCCGCCGCCCGCGUAGACGCGCACUCGCCCG
rnacentral:lncRNA from 1 species